rnacentral:lncRNA from 1 species
AAAAACCUAAAUCUUUCUAAAACUUUUUUUUCCAUGUUCAUACAUUCUAUAUUAUUCCAGGUAUAUUUUUCUCGUUUAAUAAUUUUGCAAGUUUUACCUUUAUCAUAUUUACAUUUCAAAACUUUUUAAUGGUGUUGAUUUUAUACAGACAUACUCUUUUAAAUGUUUAAGAUAUAAUAAACUAUUAUACAUUGUCGUUUUUUUUUCUUUUUUUCUUGUUGAAUGUUUUUUUUU